rfam:Triticum aestivum genome assembly, contig: Triticum_aestivum_CS42_TGACv1_scaffold_407438_5BL
UAAAUACUCCCUCCGUCCGAAAAUACUUGUCAUCAAAAUGGAUAGAAAGAGAUGUAUCUAGAACUAAAAUAUGUCUAGAUACAUCCUCAAUAUUGAUGACAAGUAUUUCCGGACGGAGGGAGUACAUA